GCAUCCUGUAGUUGAAAAUACAUCAUAAAAUUUAGUCUGGGAGAACCCAGUCAUGUGUUACUACUACUACAGCUAGGCAAACACUACUAAGUUUCAUCUAGUGGCUUAAAAAAAAAGGGAAAAGUACACUUUAAUGCUCUGUGCUUGUGCCUUUUUUUUAAAAAAACAUUUUUGCCAUGUUUUUUUCAUGACAAAUGGGUACUCUGUGCUUGUUGCCGUUUGUAGAUUCGGGAUAUUUUUGCCUUAUGGCAUUUCUUUUGGCUGUUGCGUCAAUUUUUUUCAAUUAAAAAAAUUCACCCUGUCAAAAUGUGAAUCAAUUGAAAUUUAAUAAAAAUAAAUAAAAAGCAGCAGCAAAAAUGGCAAGUCAUGCCCAUUUGUUGGACUGACAUGCAUCAGCUUACUCUGGCAACCAGCCAGUACCCUUCUUCCUCAAAAAGAAGAUUGUUCACUUCCCAUCAGAAUCCAUUGCAGAACUCAAAGCAAUUUCCUCUGCAUUUCAUAGAGAGGCGCAUAAAUAGAGAUUGAACCCACCUUUGUCUCCAAGCUACUUUGGAAACUGUAUUGAUGCACUUGGAGUUUCAACCACAGCUGAUGAGCCGCCAGACCACAAUCCCAAAUUCCUUAAUUUUCUUCCCUCACACAACCAUAUUGAGCUCAACCUCCCAUUACUUCCACUUCCACCAACGAUCUCUCAACUCCGACACCUGUAUAUUUUCAAUUACUCAUCUCCUUCACUAGGCCACUACCAUUCUCCUUUCUCCUUGCAGGUUCGCUUUGUGUGUGCUUGUUUGGUUGCAUAUCUCUUUUGCCUUGAGAAAUCAAAGAUUUUUUUUUUCUUCAGCAGUGAUGCUUCUAUUCUCAGUGAAAUUUCUUAGAUAGGCUUUCUUUAAUAUCACAAUCAAUAUAUUUGCUGCUGCAGAUUUUAGUGCCAAAAUCCUUCCUUUUCUCUCUUCUACUCCUUGUUUUCCUCUUCAUUUAUAGUUUAUAGCUUCAAAAACAAUCACAAAUUUCUUUUUCUUUCCUCAUUCAGAGCUGCUUUAAUUCAAUGAUAAGAAUAGAAUUAGUUAGAAGAGUCAACUAGUAUGUUGGAGGGAAAAGUUGUUAUGACGAUUACUGAGAUUGCAGUGGCCAUAUGGGUGGGAAUCUGAGUAUAAAGGAGCUGGAGAAGCUCUUUGUAAGGCAUU
rnacentral:misc_RNA from 1 species